rnacentral:rRNA from 1 species
CAUGCAAGUCGAACGGUAGCACAGAGAGCUUGCUCUCGGGUGACGAGUGGCGGACGGGUGAGUAAUGUCUGGGAAACUGCCUGAUGGAGGGGGAUAACUACUGGAAACGGUAGCUAAUACCGCAUAACGUCGCAAGACCAAAGAGGGGGACCUUCGGGCCUCUUGCCAUCAGAUGUGCCCAGAUGGGAUUAGCUAGUAGGUGGGGUAACGGCUCACCUAGGCGACGAUCCCUAGCUGGUCUGAGAGGAUGACCAG